GAUGAACGCUAGCGGCAGGCCUAACACAUGCAAGUCGAGGGAGAAGCCCUUCGGGGCAGAAACCGGCGCACGGGUGCGUAACGCGUAUGCAACCUACCUUUCACAGGGGGAUAGCCCGAAGAAAUUUGGAUUAAUACCCCAUAAUAUUAUUGGAUGGCAUCAUUUGAUAAUUAAAAUUACGAUGGUGAAAGAUGGGCAUGCGUCCUAUUAGCUAGUUGGAGUGGUAACGGCACCCCAAGGCUACGAUAGGUAGGGGUCCUGAGAGGGAGAUCCCCCACACUGGUACUGAGACAGGGACCAGACUCCUACGGGAGGCAGCAGUGAGGAAUAUUGGUCAAUGGUCGGAAGACUGAACCAGCCAUGCCGCGUGCAGGAAGAAUGCCUUAUGGGUUGUAAACUGCUUUUAUAUGGGAAGAAUAAGGAGUACGUGUACUUUGAUGACGUACCAUAUGAAUAAGCAUCGCA
rnacentral:rRNA from 1 species